GCAACCCAUGAUGACUUUUCAUUGGAACCUAGAUAUUUUUGUGUUAUGAGAUUGAAUCAAAAUUUAAACUUUUGUUUUAACUUUCUGUGAACUGCUUUGGCAUGGGAAGGGGAGGUGGGACUUCAUGACCCUCCUCCACCAGCUCUAAUCUCUGGCUUUAAGAUUCCCCCCUCUGCAAUGCUCCCUACAGCACAGUGCAGGAAACUAUCUCUAGGUUUGUGGCCAUUCUGAGUUAAUUUUUGUAUAAGGUGUUAGAUGUAGGUUAAAUUUUAUUUUGUGCCUAUUGCUCUAGCGUUUGUUGAAAAGGCUGUCUUUCCUCCAUUGAAUUGUUUUGGUAUCUUUGUCAAAAAAAAAAAAAAAAAAGAGUUGGGUACAACUCUCAGUAAACUGAGGCUAUCAUAGGGCUCAUCUCAUUUAUUUCCCUUUUCUCAUUUAAUGAAGUUCCGUACUACUUGCUUUUCAAUAUCCAUAAACAUUUUUUAUAAUUUUGUCUGGUUUUUUAGUUGUUUAUAAUGGGAAGGUGAUUUCUGUUGGUGGAAGUAGAAGCCUUCCCGAACCAGUUUUUCAGCUGGAAACAACUGAUGUAAGAGGCUAGGCCCCUAGAACAGCAUGACCCUCUUGCAGGUCCAGCAUAAUAUGUCCUGGACCAUAUGGACAUUCCACAGAUCAUCACAUUACUUCAUUCAAGGUAAUAAUUCCCCUGGUCCUAUAAGGACUCACGACCAUUUGCUUAAUACAUGCUGGAGAAAGAGGCACAACCAUUUGAGAAACUGUUGUAUACAGGGUCUUAUCUGAUACUGAUGUCCAUGGAUCUGAAGCAUCGUCAUGGCCCCCUGGUAGAGUGGCAGUGUAUGGGGAUGGGGUGACAAAUGUAUUCCAGACCCAGGUCUAGCUCUCAGUGGUCCUACUGGGUUCGUAGAUCCACCCAGCGGUCAUUUCACUGGUCCUUAAUGGGUAACUGAGAUGGAUAUAUUUGAUAGUUGGCAGAACUACACUAACCAUGAUAGGGUUAGAAAGGCCAGCACGAAGCUCCUGAAGUUGCUGCUACCAUCUCAGGCCAAGAUAAUAAAAACUAUCACAGUAGUGGCCCUCUUGCAGAUCUAAAGGAUGCAGGGAUGGUGGGCCCAUUAAAACACUAUUUAAUUCACUAGUCUGGUCCCUGGUAAAAUCAGAAAGUUCUUGGAAGAUGACAGUGGAUGACAGCCAUCUCAAGUCAUUUCAAUUGUAUCUGCUGUGCUAAAUGCUAAAUGUGGUGUCUUUGCUAGAGAUUAACACAGCCGCAGGUACACGAUAGGUGGCCAUUAAUCUGAGCAAUAUAUUCUUUUCCAUCUCUGUAAGAAAGGACCAUAAAAAGUACUUUCACUACUGGGAUGAGCAGGAAUAGUCUUGCACCUGGACCAUGUAAAACCUCCCACCCUGUCAUAAUAUGUCCUGGACCAUAUGGACAUUCCACAGAUCAUCGCGUUACUUCAUUGAUGACAUCAUGGUAAUUGUACAGGAUGAGCAAGAAAUGGCAAGUACACUAGAGGCCUUGAUAGGAUAAACAUCCUUCAAGUAGGGGUACAUAAAACUGCAAAUACCCAGUAAUGUUUUUAGAGGUCCAGUGGUCUGGACCAUGCCAGGAUGUUCCCUCCAAAGUAAAGGAGAAAUUUUACUUCUCACAUCUCACUCCCAAGAAGGGAACACAGUGCCUGACAAACCUCACUGGGGUCUACAGACAGCAUAUUCCACACUUGGGAAUACUGUUCUGACACAUGUAUCAAUUCUGAUAAUGGACAGAUGCAGUCAUGGCCUGCAAGGGCAUAAUGACCAGGUACCUUAUCAGGUAACCUAUUUGGACCAGAAGUACAAGUUGAGGGGGUGUGGGUAGGAAUCUAGAUGGGGAGUAGAGAAGGGAGACGAGUACCAGUGCAGACAGGGUAAGUUACAGCAGCAGGGGCUACGGUCUGUCCCAGACCUUCCUCUGUUAACCAGUUUUCCCAGGAAAAGAGGCCCAUCAAAUCCUGAAGGGAUCACUCUAGAACUCAAGAAACAAUGGAUCCGAACAGCACGAAAGGUGGACUAUAGUGAAGACCUAGUGUGCUGCCCAGAUUCCCCGCUUCAGGACUGAAGCACUCAUUUCCCAAGCUGCUGAGAAUGCGGACGGUGCUCUUCUGAGUCCCCUUGGGAGCUGCCUUUUCCCGAAGUCAGACAACUCACCCAAGGACAUGGCCCCUUUUUAGCCAAUGUGGGGCACCAAACCCCAGUAGCUCAAGAGUACAACCUACUUGGAAGUUCUGCCCCCAGUCUACUCAUGCCCAGUAAACAGCAUCUAAGAACACAA